CAAUUUAAACAACGAAGAGUUUGAUCCUGGCUCAGGAUGAACGCUAGCGACAGGCUUAACACAUGCAAGUCGAGGGGCAGCACGAUGUAGCAAUACAUUGGUGGCGACCGGCGCACGGGUGAGUAACGCGUAUGCAACCUACCUAUCAGAGGGGAAUAACCCGGCGAAAGUCGGACUAAUACCGCAUAAAACAGGGGUUCCACAUGGAAAUA
rnacentral:rRNA from 1 species